GGGGGGGGGGGGGGGGGGGGGGGGGGGGGGGGGGGGGGGCGGGGGGGGGGGGCGUGGUGCGGGGGUGAGGGGGGGACGGGGGAGGGAGGGCGGGGAGGGUGCCUGGGAGUGGGGGAUAACGGGGGGGAACGGGCGGUACUACCGCAUACGUGCUGAGGGAGAAAGGGGGGGGUCUUCGGACCUGGCGCUAGCAGAUGGGCCUAGGUCGGAUUAGCUAGUUGGUGGGGUAAAGGCCUACCAAGGCGACGAUCCGUAACUGGUCUGAGAGGAUGAUCAGUCACACUGGAACUGAGACACGGUCCAGACUCCUACGGGAGGCAGCAGUGGGGAAUAUUGGACAAUGGGCGAAAGCCUGAUCCAGCCAUGCCGCGUGUGUGAAGAAGGUCUUCGGAUUGUAAAGCACUUUAAGUUGGGAGGAAGGGCAGUAAGUUAAUACCUUGCUGUUUUGACGUUACCAACAGAAUAAGCACCGGCUAACUUCGUG
rnacentral:rRNA from 1 species